CGCACCCCGUUGGGAGAAACCGGAGCGAUCCGGUGCCGAAGGAGCAACCGCCCCGGAAACUCUCAGGCAAAAGGACCAACGGGUCAGG
rfam:Hoeflea sp. BRH_c9 BRHa_1002046, whole genome shotgun sequence.